rnacentral:rRNA from 1 species
GAUGAACGCUGACAGCAUGCUUAACACAUGCAAGUCAACUUGAAUUUGGGUUUUUUAACUUAGAUUUGGGUGGCGGACGGGUGAGUAACGCGUAAAGUACUUUCCUCACAACUAGGGACAACAUUUGGAAACGAAUGCUAAUACCUGGUAUUAUGCUUAUAAGGCAUCUUAGAAUUAUGAAAGCUAUAUGCGCUGGGGGAGAGCUUGGCGGCCCAUUAGCUAGUUGGUGGGGGAAGGGCUCACCAAGGCAUGGACGGGUAGCCGGCCUGACGGGGGAAACGGCCACAUUGGGACUGAGAUACGGCCAAGACUCCUACGGGAGGCAGAAGUGGGGAAUAUUGCACAAUGGGCGGAAGCCUGAUGCAGCAACGCCGCGUGCGGGAUGACGGCCUUCGGGUUGUAAACCGCUUUCGCCUGUGACGAAGCGUGAGUGACGGUAAUGGGUAAAGAAGCACCGGCUAACUACGUG